CGCAUGGACAUCUAAAUCGCAGGUACGCCCAAUCUGUGUUGAAGACGCAUACGGAUUCUUAAUCGCACAAUCACCUUGAACGGAGUCCACUUUAUCGCUUGGCAUCACUGCAGAGACAGGUCCCCUGUGUGCAAAAGAUUAUAUUUCUGUGAAGUGAAAGAAUGCAGUAUUGAAGCUGUUGCUGUUUGAGUUUGAAGUUCAGAAUCACCUGGAUAUAGCAAAUGCUUAACAGAGAAGAGUAGAGGAAUUACAUUUGUUAGUUGCUGUGUGUUUGUGAUUUUGUGAGCUGGAACAGCAACCCAGACUUCAUCUUCCUCACACAUUGAUUUCUAGAACUGUGUUAGAGAUAUUGCAAAGCUUGAGGUUUGCUUACUGUCUACAUUACAUAAUCUGUUUUGAGUUCAAUAUUGAAACAGCCUGUUUUGAGCUCC